CAUUGACCAUUGCUUCCUCAGCAGCGUGCGCCUUCACCCAGCAGCAGCAAAAUCGAUCCCUCUCCAUCCGGCCUUUUCUUCCCUUCCCCCUCCCAAGGCUGUGCAGGGCCUCAGCAGGGCUAUAUGCCCCUGCAUUCUCUCGUGUGGGGGCUGCGUGCUGUACAGGGCUGCGCCUCCACAUCUGCCGGCUUGCGGUGCUGCAGGCCGUGCGGGGACGCACUUCCGCAUCCGCUGCCAUGCGGAUCUGUGAGCCGUGCGGGGCCGCGCCACUGCACCACCGGUGUGCGGAUCUGUGAGCCAUGCGAGGCUGCGCCACCCCAUCUGCGGGCGUGAGGAUCUGAUCUGCGACUCUGAGAGUUGGGUGGGGCGAUGCGGCAUCUGCUGGCGUUCAAGGUGUGAGUCGGGAGGGGCCGAGCACCUGUGCGUGGUGCCGAGUUGGACGCAUGUGGCCGAGUUGGACGCAUGUGCUAGGAAAUUGAAUGGCUAGUGGUUCCGGAGGCAUCGACGGCAACAAGGAUGGCAGGUUGCGAUGUCAUAGAUGAGCAUGAAGAAGGCAACAUGAAGAAACAAGCGUUGCAAACUGCAGUUUUUGUCCGGCUAGCUACAUCAAAUUUCCGUGGAUGUUCUUCAAGCCUCAAAGGGAUCAAUUUGACGACUUGGAUAAGGAAGAAGUUGGUCUCCAUGAUUUUGUAGUGAGAUGCGAGUAAAUCUUGGUCUAUAGAUAACUAUGAUAAGUGACUUGUAUAUUUAGAUGCAUGUGUUUACUCGAGACUUGUAGGGUAAAUGAACUUGCAAUGAUCUUGGAGAUGAGUCAUUUUUAUUGCUUUUGAAAAUGAGAUCUUGCUUUUGAUGUA